rnacentral:rRNA from 1 species
GACAGAGGGUGCAAACGUUGCUCGGAAUUACUGGGCGUAAAGCGCACGUAGGCGGCUAUUCAAGUCGGGGGUGAAAGCCCGGGGCUCAACCCCGGAACUGCCCUCGAAACUAGAUAGCUAGAAUCUUGGAGAGGCGAGUGGAAUUCCGAGUGUAGAGGUGAAAUUCGUAGAUAUUCGGAAGAACACCAGUGGCGAAGGCGACUCGCUGGACAAGUAUUGACGCUGAGGUGCGAAAGCGUGGGGAGCAAACAGG